GCACUCGAAUCUUUCCCAUGCCUGCUGCCUGGUGCUAGUCUGGGGACAGACAGUGCUACACUAUGAGCAGAGAAUAUCCAGACGGGCUGCUUUUGAUUUUUGUCUUGGGGCCUGUCUCUACAGCUCUGCCAUAUUU
rnacentral:snoRNA from 1 species